UGCAGAAUAAUUACUUUUGAUUGCAUAAACAUUUUCAAUAAUUUUUCACUAAGUAUUAAAACUGGCAUUUUAUCCACAAUAGUAAGGACACACUCAGUGGGUCAAACAUACAUUUGAAACUCCGACAGAAAACCAAAAGCAAACAAAAGAAAGUGAAAAAUCCAAGCAGCUCUCUUGUCAACAUCGUCUUGUCCGCCACAACCUGGAGAAAAUUUGGCACUCUUGUCAUUUUUAGUAUGUUCUACAAAUAUUAUAAUAUUUGUUAAGUUUAAACUUCUCUAUUUUAUGAUAUAUAAAUAUAACUGUAAAAAAAUAUAGUAUUAUGAUAUGUCUAGAAUAUUAAGUUGUAAGUGUACUUAUAUGCCAAGAGUUUUAUUUCGUGUGCUUUGGUUUAACAUGAGAACAUGAAUUUUAAGAAAACUGACUCGAUAAUUGAGCAAACUAAUUCAUAAAAAAAGUAAUGAAAUAUUUGUUUAUAACAAAUUUUAAAUAUGUUGAAAAUAAAUUAACCAUGAAUAAAAUAUGAAAAAACGAGAAUAUUAUUGAUAAAAAUAAUAUGGUUACAAUUUAUGAAUUUACAGAAUAUUCGAGAUACUUUUUAAGGUAAUAUAAUACCAAAAAUCAUAAUUGAAAUCGAAUACAUUUGUAGAAUCCUGAUUAGAUGAACAAAUUCUCAAUACACAUAAUUUUAUAAAAUCCAAGAGCGUAUCAUACAGAAUUGAUAUCUCCGAGCAGAGAAGGGAAGAAAACUCCUGCUACGGUUAAGUUUCAACACUGUGAAAGUAACGAACAGUUGGGUAGUUAGCCAGCCAUAUACCAGAUUCUUAUAUUCUUUCAUUAAAUCCCCACACAUAUAUUAUUUUUUAUUAAAAUCCAACUGUUCAAACUUACUAUCAAUUACUACUUUUUAGUGUUAAAAGUUAAGAUCUUCACACACUCUGUUUCAACCUCACCAUUUAUUGUCCCCCUUUUUUUCUCCGUCACACAAUUGAAUUGAUCUCACUGUUACCCAAAAUGUCGGUCACCGUUAGCUCGCCGGCCGUCCGAUCCUUCCAUGUUUCACGAUCACCUCAUAAAACGAUCUAUAGGCCACGUGUCAUUAUGUCUGCCGUCCGAUCUAGUGAUAGCUUAGGAGUAGCACCAAUUUUGACUAAGUUGCAGAAAGACUGUGCUACUCCUCUCCCAGUUUUGCGCCACGUGGCGGAUGCAAUGGCCGAUGAUAUGCGGGCCGGGCUUGCCGUCGAUGGCGGCAGUGAUCUGAAGAUGAUCCUUAGUUAUGUCGACACUCUACCAACUGGGUAAGCUACUAAUUCUUUUAUUUUAUUUUUUUGGUUCAGUUGCUUAUGGAAGGUGAUAUUUUUUGUUUCUAUUAUAAAUUACCCGUUUCGAAGAAUUAACCUGAAUAGUAAUAUUUGUAUUCUGUGCAUACUGGCUAGAAAAAAUAAACAAGUUGGUUAGCCAACUAAUUGGGUAAAGAUCCCAUUAUUUUUACCUAUUUUAAGCUAUUGUUACUUUUUGGUAUUGGGUGUACUUCACAAGUUUAAUUUGAUGGGCAUAAUCAUAAGGAGUUACAUGGUUUAAAGACUUGCCAUGAAAUAUGUUUGUCAUCUCGUCUAAAAGCUGAAAGUUGAAUAAUUGUAUUAUGUUUGAACACGCGGUCACAUGUGAGCUUGAUUUUUGUUCAUGGGACGAACACAUUGAAAUUAUUUUUUUCUUUUAUGGACAGCGAUGAUAUUUGAAUCAAUAAUCUCUGUUUGCUUUGAUACCAUACUGAUGUAUGUGACUAUCUGGUCUAAAAGUUUGAGCAUGUUUUAGUGUCUUGAUUAUAUAUUACUCCCUUCGUUUCAUUUAUAUGUCUCUAAUAUUUCCAAGUAUACUUUCUAUUUGUUCACUUGUUUGAUUGUUGAGCUUGUUCUUAUAUAUGCUACAAUAUUUUAAUGAUUAAUGAAGGAAUGAGAAAGGCUUGUUUUAUGCGUUGGACCUUGGUGGUACAAAUUUCCGAGUGCUAAGGGUGCAGCUAGGUGGUAAAGAAGAGCGUGUAGUCGCCACUGAGUUUGAGCAAGUCUCUAUACCCCCAGAAUUGAUGUUUGCUACCUCCGAGGUUGUUUAGUUUUUCUUGUUAUAAUGGGACUUGACCAAUACUAUCUUUUUUGUUGUUGUUGUAUUCAUCUUUGCAUCGGUUAUUGUAGGAGCUGUUCGAUUUCAUAGCUUCUGCGCUAGGAAAAUUUGCACAAAAGGAAGGUGGUAAUUUUGAGUUGCAACAGGGACGGACAAGGGAAAUAGGAUUCACGUUUUCUUUUCCAGUGAAACAGACUUCAAUAAGAACUGGAAUCCUAAUCAAAUGGACAAAAGGUUUUGCUGUCUCUGGAACUGUUAGUAUUUCUUGACUCUCUUAUUUGUGUAAAGGAGUGGCAGAUGUUAGACAUCUUACUAAUUUAGCCUAUGACUGGUUCUGGAACCAUACAUUGCUAAGAUGGCCAAUCAAUUCUGCGUUAUUGUAGUUUCAGUAAAGAUGGUCAAUUUCCCUCAAACUACUAAAACUUCCAACGAAUGUUUUUACCUUUUUCUGAAACAAGCACCGGAAUCAUCUAUUUGGUAAAAUCCUGUAAUUCCAUCCCCAAUUGAUUGUGCAUGUGAGAUUUUCUGUUUUCUGGACAACAGAGUGUUUCAUAUAGUGAGUCCAUUUUUUCCAGAUACAACAAUUUUUUUUUUAGAGUACUGGUUACUGUAUGAUGACUGAUUAGUAAGUUGUGUAAUUAGAGGGAUCAUUUCAUCGCUUUGAUCUUACAAGUUGAAUCAGAAAAUACUGGAUUCCAAACUAGUAGAGAAGAGUUCCUUAACAUUGAUUUUUAACUUUGUCUCUCUUAUCAUUAUCAUUUUCAUUUUACCUGUCGAUUACUUUUUGAUUCCAUCAUAACAUGGAACAGGCAGGAAAAGAUGUUGUUGCUUGUUUAAAUGAAGCCAUGGAGAGGCGGGGAAUGGAUAUGCAAGUGUCUGCCCUGGUAGGUUCUUGCUCAACUUCAUGUAUAUUGUAGAAAUGUUGGAGAAUAGUCUGGCGCUUCCUUAGUUCAAUCGUUUCAUGAUUUCAUUGUCAAGUUAGGUCAAUGACACUGUGGGAACACUUGCCGGAGCAAGAUACUGGGAUGAUGAUGCCAUGGUUGCUGUCAUUCUUGGGACUGGAACCAAUGCUUGCUAUGUAGAACGUGUGGAUGCUAUUCCUAAGCUGACAAAAAGGAUGUCCAAGUCUCCAAUAACGGUAAGUAGAGCCCAAAUCUCCUUCGUCAAGUUAUUUCAUGAGCAGAUUUUAGCAACCAUUGAGUUCGAUACAUCAUUAUAUUUUAGAUUGUGAAUACUGAAUGGGGAGCUUUCUCAAAUGGCCUUCCUUUAACUGAGUUUGAUAGAGAAAUGGAUGCCGAGAGCAUUAACCCUGGUGAGCAGGCAAGUAUUAUUGACUCAAAAUGUGAAAAUUUCUUUUCUUCGUAUACUUGGUAUCACACUGUUUCUUCAUGGUCUUUUCUACUGUCUUAUUUCUUGAUGAAGAUUUUUGAAAAGACCAUCUCCGGUAUGUACCUUGGGGAAAUUGUGAGACGGGUGCUGGUCAAAAUGUCCAAGGUUGGGGGCUUAUUUGGUGGCAGCUAUGUUCCGGAAAAGUUAGUCACUCCAUUUGUGCUGAGGUAAUUACAUUUGUUAUAUCAGAAGUUUAUGAUGCAAAUGUUUUCGGAGAAGUAUUAGUUUUGUAUUAAUUAGUCUCGUACUCUUCUUGUUUUUACUCACUCUGUCUGAUCUGCAUCAUAUAGGACACCUGAUAUAUGUGCCAUGCAGCAGGAUACAUCAAGAGAUCUUGAAGCUGUUGAAUCUGUCCUCUAUGAUGUAGCUGGGGUAUAUUACUUAGCUCUCGUGUUUUAACUUACAUUGCAAUACUCUUUCCGGUCACGUAUCUUCUAGGCUAAUUUUUUUCCUAUUGAAUACUUGUUGUCCAAUAAUCGAUUCAUGAAGAACCUUACAUUUGAAGAUCUAUAUUCAUUCCAAAGACAACAUUCAAAAGGAUAGUUUAGCAUCUGUUUCCAUAAACAUGGAACAUUUUCCAGAGUUACGUUUAUAGAUAUGAACACAUAAUAACAACAACUACUAUUACGCCUCAAUCCCAAGCAAGUUGAGGUCAGCUAUAUGAACUCUCAUUGUCCAUGUUGUUAAGGUCGUCCAUCCUAUUCUAAAAAAAUUAGUCUCUCUAGCACUAGAAGUUCUUUACAAAAUAUUUUCAUAGAGUAUGAAAGAAGUCUACGAACAUUUUGAUGUUCACAAUUUUGCUUUCGAUUAUUAAUUUUCAGGUAAAAUCCGAUCUAAGUGCAAGGAAAACAGUCGUGGACAUUUGCGAUACUAUUGCAAAACGAGGGGGUCGUCUGGCUGGUGCAGGAAUUGUUGGGAUUCUACAGAAAAUGGAGGAGGAUUCUAAAGGCCUCAUCUUUGGUAAAAGAGCAGUUGUAGCAAUGGAUGGAGGCUUAUACGAGCACUAUCCUCAGUACAGAGGAUACCUCCAAGAAGCUGUCACAGAGUUACUAGGCUCGGAAAUUUCGAAAAAUGUAGUGAUAGAACAUUCAAAAGAUGGUUCUGGAAUUGGAGCUGCAUUAUUAGCUGCUGCAAACUCAAAGUAUGAACAUGAUUAUUAAGGAGAAUGCUAAAUUUCAUGUCUUCAAAGGUUUGCUUGAGGAAAAAUUACAUGAGCAUUUGUAAUUUUCUUGUAAUUUAGAAUGUUCUAAGAAGGAUUGAUCAUUGGACUUCUCAUUCUUUAAGUAGAGGCUCUUGUUUGUGAUGCCAUUUUUGUACUCCCAUUAGUGAUGUACGAAGAAGUGAGGAUUCAUAUAGCCAACCCCAAUUUGUUUGGGACCGAGGCAUAGUUGUUGUUGUAUUAUGCAGCAGUGACUUAUUUAUGUGAUAAAAGCAGAUGUAUCAGUAAAUAUAGAACAUCUUGUUUGUUUAUAAUUAUGAAAUAAGCACAUUUCUUUGGUGUUUUAGAAUUUUCUCAGUUUUGUUUCUUAUAUUGGUUAUUUUUAACCAAAAUUUGAUAAAUGACAAGAUCUUGAAAGUUAUAAAUUUUUAUGACAUUCACAGAUCAAAAGUUUAGACAUGAUUCACAGCCAUAUAUGGACUGCAUAGUGCAUCUAUGAGACAAACUCAGAAUGCAAUGGAUGACUUUAAUUCAGUAUUGAAUGAAGAACAUAAACAAACUGGCUCACCUGUACUAGUGCAGAUUGAAUGAAUUUGAUGUCCACUUCUCAGGUGCUAAUUGUGGAACCACAGUUCUCGAGUUGAUUUCGUAGAUGGUGACUCAACUAAUAGUUAUUAUCUCAGAUGACUUUCUGUAGCUACAAUCAACUGUUGGGUAGGACUUAAGUACAGAAAUUACAGUCACACAGAUAAAGAGAUAAGUGAAAGAGUCAAUUACUUGAAGGACAAUAGAAAAGUUAUUAGAUGUAGAUACUUGGUCCAGAAAUUUUGUAACUAGA
rnacentral:lncRNA from 1 species